rnacentral:pre_miRNA from 1 species
AAAAGUUAACUUUGUAUCGCGAUCGAACGUUUGCUUACGUUUGCCGCUAGGGGCGCUGUUCCAACUGCAUACAAAUGUGAGUUA